rnacentral:rRNA from 1 species
AAUGCGAGGAAGCAAUCCCAUAAACCGUGGCUCAGUUCAGAUCGUAGGCUGCAACUCGCCUACGUGAAGUAGGAAUCGCUAGUAAUCGCAGGUCAGCAUACUGCGGUGAAUACGUUCCCGGGCCUUGUACACACCGCCCGUCACACCAUGGAAGUUGGCCACGCCCGAAGCCGUUACUCCAACCCUUGUGGAGGAGGACGUCGAAGGUGGGGCUGAUGACUGGGGUGAAGUCGUAACAAGGUAUCCGUACCGGAAGGUGCGGAUGGAUCACCUCCUAA